rnacentral:rRNA from 1 species
CCCUUAGAUGUUCUGGGCCGCACACGCGCUACACUGAAGGAGGCAGCGUGUACUCCUGGAUCGUAAGAUUUGGGUAACCCGCGAAUCUCCUUCGUGCUAGGGAUUGAGGUUUGCAAUUAUCCUUCAUGAACGAGGAAUUCCCAGUAAGUGCAAGUCAUAAGCUUGCGCUGACUACGUCCCUGCCCUUUGUACACACCGCCCGUCGCUACUACCGAUUGAAUGAUUUAGUGAGGACUUCGGACUGGGACCGAUGCGGCUUUCGGGCUGCGUCGGUAUUCUGGAAAGAUGUCCAAACUGUAUCAUUUAGAGGAAGUAAAAGUCGUAACA